rnacentral:lncRNA from 1 species
AUUUCCGCCGGCGCGAAACGAGCGUAGCUUCCUUGUCGUGUGGCCUCAGUCCUUCGCCGUCCCUCGCCGUCCUUCGCCAUCGCACGCCACCGCACCCCAUCUCUCGAAAUCUGCAGACAUCUUGAUUUUUCCCACGCUGUCUGUCAGGUCUCCGCCGCCACUCGACGCCAGGGCGCCGGGUGAGUCCACAGCAGGGCGCAUGGUCGGCUCCACUCUCACCAUCGGGGGAAACUGAGGCCCCGGGGAAGGCGGCCAGAGAGGUCAGGCCCUGUCCUUGGUGCAGUGUCUCGUCCUCUUUGCCGGAGUGAGCCCCCCAGGAUUCGCGUGUCCUCGGGAAAGACACUGGCAGGCCUUGUGGGCUGUGCUGCACCUCGGACGGCUUCGCACCAGCCAGCGCCCUCUCUCUCCUGCAGCACUCUGAUCUGCACCCCCUGAGGGGCUUCCACUGUCCGCGGGGUGAGAAUGCCCCUGGGAGUGUCACAUGACUGCCGCCCCAUGUGUGUGAGAGGCGUCCUCUGGGAGAGCAUGGAUCCUGAGGUCCCAGGAUUGUCAGCUGACCUCUGUCCUGUGUGCCCAGUGGCCCCAGGUGACGUGUCUUCAAGAAGAGGCUGAGCUGCGGUGCUUGUAAGAGUCAUGUGCUGUUCCUGGGGCUUGGAUGAUGUAGGGGAAGCAAGGUGAAAGUGGUAUCCCGUGGUUCCACGUUCUGUCCUGCUGUGGGGCUGUCCCUCACAUGCUUUCAGUGGCUGUUGCAGAGGAAGAGCCUCCGGAAAUCUGCGUGGGUAAAGUCUCAGCCUUAGAUCCAAGGACAGUCCAAGGAAGUCCUAAGACCAUGGAGUUGGUGAUCUGGGAUCUGGGUUUGCUGAUAUUUCUCACCGUGAAUCUCUUGGUGGUGUUUGUGGGCACGAGAGGGGCAGAGAAUGGAGAGUGAGGCUACCACAUGAAGCGUCACCAGAGCUGCUCCCUGCUGCCUGCUCAGAGCACCCCGGAUCCACUGUUCAAUCUGCACAAGAUUCGGGGUCCAGACAUGGGAGACUUCAGCUGCCUCAGAGGACCGUGGACAGGGAAGGCCAGCCUCGCAUCCCUCUGUCCAUGCCUGGAAUGACUUUAAUAACCAAGAGUUUUAUUUUUGAAUUUGUAGCUGUCGUUCACUUUUUACCCACCCAUUCAAUAAACCUUACAGAAUUGC